AAUGGUAUGAAUUCGGUUUAAUAUGAUUUUAGUAACGCGACUAAGAAACGGUACCAAAACCUAAUAGGUAUUCAAUUUAUCAAUAUCACUUAUAAAAUAAUAUUACACAUCUCUCGCUCAGAAAUAAUCUUUUAUUUCGCACAAACAUUUCCAUGGAACUUCUAUGUAAGUGAGUGAGUGAGAAACAUCAUACUAUGACACCGCCUAAUCUAUAACCAUUAGCAGCAAAGUAUACAGUCAAUAUAGAAUAGAUAUAAACUAUAAAUAGUUUGAGUCAAAUCGAAUGCACUCAACCCUUUAAAUAAACCAUGCCGUUUAAGUUCAAUAUAACAUUUCAGAAAUGAUUAUGGUACAACAAAUAUAUGAUUCCUAUUUCAUUAA